GUGGGGAAUCUUCCGCAAUGGGCGAAAGCCUGACGGAGCAACGCCGCGUGAGUGAAGAAGGCCUUCGGGUCGUAAAGCUCUGUUGUUCGGGACGAAUGGCAGUACGAAGAACAAGCGUACUGCAUGACGGUACCGGACGAGGAAGCCACGGCUAACUACGUGCCAGCAGCCGCGGUAAUACGUAGGUGGCAAGCGUUGUCCGGAAUUAUUGGGCGUAAAGGGAGCGCAGGUGGGCAAGUAAGUCUGUCUUAAAAGUGCGGGGCUCAACCCCGUGAGGGGAUAGAAACUACAUUUCUUGAGUGCAGGAGAGGAAAGCGGAAUUCCUAGUGUAGCGGUGAAAUGCGUAGAUAUUAGGAGGAACACCAGUGGCGAAGGCGGCUUUCUGGACUGUAACUGACACUGAGGCUCGAAAGCCAGGGGAGCGAACGGGAUUAGAUACCCGGGUAGUCC
rnacentral:rRNA from 1 species